ensembl:lncRNA
AAAUAAAUGAAUAAAUAAAGUCGUAUCCAUGCGUCCCUCCAAAAGAUCCUGCGGGUGUAGCUCCAUCGCUGCUACAGUUACUUAACGUAAGCAUAGUUUGUGUAGCUAACAGCUAACUUCAUCCACUCAGCGACAUUCACACAAAUGUGCUAGACUGGCUGAUAUCGGGGGAACCGUCAUGUGGGACAUCUGAAGCUAUCAGUCAUGAAAGAGCCGAGGGACGGACAGUGAGGGAGGAAUCAGAGAGCGUCUCCUACUCGCUAACAUUACCCCCCCUUCUCCCCCUGUCUUUGUCACCUAGGCAACAGAGGUUCCUUAGGAUAAUAUCCUGUUUCAAUCAUCCUGAACAUCGGUUUAACCAGAACACCACGUGCCACUAAGAUUGAAUUUUUCGAACAGGUAAUGGCUGUCGAAAGGUAGGAAAUCCGUUACGAGGUGCGGUUUGAGGUUCCGUACCACCGCUCAGCCAAUCCCUGAGCUGAACGCGUUGACGACGUAGGACGUGUGAAAAGGAGGACUUCAAUAACCGUAUAUGGGCCAGAGAUUUUGUGGAAGCCGCCGGAGCUCCACUAAAACUCGCUUUACCUUUACAGCCAACUGGCAAACUUUAGGUCUGGAUGGAUGAUGAGAUGGUGAUCCAAGUUGUGACUUCACUCUGUUUCCCUACAUAUAAAAAUCUUUUGACUUUAAUUAGACGUUAAUUUACAAAGAAUAAUAUUGGGGUUUUCUGAUUCUCACAUGUAUUUCAGAUGAGCAAUAAUGAUAGUUGUGGUGGAAAUAAGUGGCUGACCAUGUGGAAAAGUAUCUUAAGCCUUGUUAAGGCCUUAAGUUUGUUUUGAGGUAUAUAUUUCAGACUAAAUGUACAGGAAAAUCAUAAAGAAUACAGAAGUCAUCAAACAUGAGCCAUAAGAACCGACUGGAGUUCAUGACUGAAUUCAGCUAAAAAGGGGCCGUGUUCCUUCUCCCUCAGAGGAGCAGAGAAGUCAGACAAUCGAUUGAUGACACGUGUUCCAGUUUUGAAAACACUGUGCCAUCGGGAGUUAGUUUCAAUCUGGAAAAGAGGUAAUAAAGUUCACAAUACGCGGGGCAUCUUUACCACCGUGAUAAACUGCUUGAAUCUGAACAGGUGAAGAGGAUCCUAAUUCAUAGAGACCGCAGAGCCAAUUUCCUGAAAAGGAGGCAAUAAUAAAUCGUUCACAAUUUGGUGGAAAAGUGUUUUGACAGAGGUGCAUCUCAUCUGCACUUUCCAUCUGAAGUGAUGAACAGAUACUACAGUCACCGUUAAUAAUUUGCUAGCCAAUAAAGGGACUGAAGCCACUAGAUUCCUUGAUAAGAGCGUUUUAGCAGUAGCUAAACGGGGAUAAGGUGCAGUAUGGAAAUGAAAUAAGUGGACCAGAAGCGAUCAAAGAGAAUAAGUAUUGAUUGAUUCUUAAAGAGCUUUAGAUGAAAUGUUUCUAUCUGUUGAUGGAAUUGUACUGAAAGCUGUAGCACUUUAAAUAACCUGGAAAUACGUCUAUAGAGACAACUUCACUGCUCGACGCUUCACAGAAUUUGUCUCAUAGCGUUGCUUUAUUGCAUGUAACGGCUAACGUUAACUAGCCUCUGAACCACAGCGGUUACUAACGGCAAGUUUAGUGGUAGGCGGAAGGUAAAAGUAAUUUUGAGAGAUGAGAAAUGACAACUUUUUUUGUUAGUUUUGUUCUGGCAAAGGGUUUCCUAUAAAUAUAAUGUUAUUGCCUUUUGCACUUUGGGAGAUGCACAACAAAAUUGCCCCAUCACUACCUGCAACUAUGCCACAUUUUGUGCUCACAGCGUGUGUCGGGUGGGAACCCAAUUUCCUGCUAAAUCAGACAAAACAAUUUGCUGCAUAAAAGGUCCAUCAAUUCCCAGCAACACAAGUAAUCAAUACUCCUGUUCAAGCCCCUGCAGUUUGUAACUGGUUGAAGCAACAACCCCGCUUAGUGAUGAUUCAGUUAAAAUAAGCAUGAUUUUACUUAACGUAUGCACAUGGCAUCAGUGAAGUAUGCAUAAUAAGUCAGCAGGGACUGGCUUUUACACAGCGCAUGGGAAGAUUUCCCCGGGGGUAAAAAUCCUUGUUUGUUUGUUUUAACUUACUGUUGCGUGGCUGCAGUAGAGCUCGCUCCAUUUAAAGCAAUAAACAGAAGGUCAUGCUUUCAUCAGCAGUGGCUCUUUGUCAGGAUCAACGUCUACUUUAUUCAACAGUGUUCUAACACUUUACUACUCAUGGCGUUUAUUUUUUAAAUAAUGUUAUUUAAAUAACAAAACAAAGAGUCUGGGCCCAGUCAGUGUUCUAAUUUACUGGGGAAAUGAACUGGAAUCAAUAGAGGCCUAAGGGCUCAUUGUUGCUCCAGGCCCUUUUAGCACGUUCAUUCAUGUAAAUAAGGAAUCACCAGGAAAACACCAGUGACUCUUUGGUAGUAUACAGUAUGAUGCAUCUACCACAUGUCUAGCAUUCAGGAAUGAACAUAUCCUCUGGUUUUGUGCUUUUCCAUUUAUUUUGUUGACUUAUUUGAAAAUGUGUUGUAUCCAAUGCUGCUUUUCUGUUGACUGCCUCCACACUAAAGUAUAAGCUACAUCUUAUUUCAGUCUCUGGCUUUGUGAAAGCGUCAGGUCAAACUCCAAGCUUCUGCUGGUGACCUUCUAAAAUCCGUGCCUUUCCAUUCCCAACACGGCAAACUAACAGUGCUGACAUCCUAGUCAGCAGCUGCAUCCUAGGAUGGUGUCAUCUAGUACGGUGAAACUGACCUGGGUUUAAUAAAUGGAUGCAAUUAUAAGCAGCUCUACCCCACCAGCACCCAGUCACCACGUUGGGUCAGGUGUGUGCUGUUAGGCUAAAAACCUAGCUGCCUGGGUGACAGUUAAAGAUUAUUUUAAUAACAUUCAGAUAAUUCAUCAAUCAACCCCUUUUGUGAUAAAGUGGAGACAAUGUAUAGUUCCCUAAGGUUUCUUUAGAGGGAACCACUGAAAGCUUUGUCAGCACUAUUUCCAUCUGCGGCUCCGCCCUCGCCAUGUUGGCAGCCAAUGGGUGCUAGCCGCCAGCUCCGCCCUCCACAACCCCAAUGGAAAUGACGUCCUUACGUUCUUUCCUCACAAUUGCUUGACUUCUUGCCUGUGUGACAUAUCUGAUGUGUGCUACUGAAUUUGAUUCCAAUGGCUUCACCGUCAACAAGUGGCAGCAGUUUUGAAAUCCUGGUUCAGGACAGAAAGACAGGCGGAACCUUUUAGGGUUUUUUUUGUGAACCUGUAUUUUUUUCCUUGGGUUUUGAGGCAGCUUUCGGUGAAUUUCAAUGGCUGGUUCCUGACGGAUUUGCAAGAUCACAUCCAUUUAAGGCGAGCAACUGCUGUACAGGCGGAUUUUUAUAUUUUAUAUGAAGUAACUGGGUACAAGUGAGCGGGUAAAUAGGGAGGUAGGUGAGGGGGAAUGGAGUUCACGUUUGAGGCAUCUGGUGCAUGGAUGGAAAAUGUGAUAUGAGAUCGAAUGGGGACAAAACAAAUAAAAGUAUUUAAAUGAAAAGCUUCUUCACCUUAAUGUUCUUUUGUACAUAUUAAUUUAACUGAGAGAAACUGAAUUGGCCCAAAAUAACACAUACCCCAUUCUGUUAUAGACAAGGUUUCAAACUUGGAAUAGGAAUCGCAAAUGAAAAUAUCCCAUCUAUGACUUCUUAAUGUGGUGGGGAGCUACUAGGCUUGGUCCGGGAUUAGUAUGCUUCACGGUGCAUCUAUCUACCCGCUAUAUUAAACCUCUGACAUUCUACAGAUUGCUGCAAAUACUGAAAUCUGGAAAUACCAGCUCAGCGAGGCAUGCAGGCAUUGACUUGUGUCGCCCACGCAUCGCUUUCUUUUGGUAGGUUCAGCGAAUCAGUUUCAGUGAACAUCCCAGUUUGAUGCAAUGCAAGAAAGGUAUUAAACAAGCUGUCACACCGCGGUGAAGUGGUUUGUUUUAUUUUGUCUGGUGUUUUUAUCUUGUCAUUUCCUGUUUUAUUUUGAAAUAGUAACUCUGCUCUCGUUUCAGGUUACGUACCCUCCGUCAUGUGUCCCCAGUCUGAUUGUGUCCACCUGUUGUCCUUGUGUACUGAUAGUCUGCGUUUCCCUUUGUCCUGUCCCAUUGUGUAUCUGCGUUCACACCAGCAUCGCCAUAGUUACGACUUUGAAACCAAGUCAUUGCGUUCUGCCCCGAUGUUUUCCUCCAAGAGGGAUUUUGUACAAUUUUGUAGCAUAGAUUUAGUUGAAUGGUCAGUUUUCUCCGUAGGAGUGAUUUUGUUUUGUUAAUCUUUCAUAGUGCCUCUGUCAAAAGAGUGCUUACCCGCUAUCUUGAUAAAGUUCAGUUUUUUUGUUUUUCCUCCUAGAGUGAAGUGACUUUUGUUAAUUUUUGUAGCCUCACUUUCUGUGAAGGGAGUUCUAGAUAAUCUUCAUAGUUUGUAUGUAUUUGUGUCUUGGAGACGUUCAGUCUUGCCAAUAAAGAUUUCAGUUAAAAAAUUAAGGUUUAUUCCUAAAAUAAUGACAUGAUAAUAAUCUCAUUCAUACAAGUCAGUAUAAAUAUAUUUUAAUAAACAUAGGUGUAAUGAAUAUCAGAAUAAAUAUAUUAUAAUUAUAUUUAUAUAUCUAACGUCGUUAGUGUGAACAUGUGUGAAAUAUAUAUAUAUAUAUAUAUAUAUAUACACACAUACAUACACACACACACACACACAUAUACAUACACAUACAUACAUACAUACAUACAUACAUACAUACAUACAUACAUACUGAGAUGAACCUAGUGUGUUAUGGAAAGACCAACUCAAAAGCACUUCAAAACUACAUAAUGAAUUAUUCUGUCCCCGUUGAUUUAAAAAGUGAGCAUGGGAAGCUAACCACGACGUUAGCACGACUACAUCUUUCUAGCCAAACCUUCCGGUGUAGCAUUUUUGCAGAAGCUUAGUAUGUGCGGCUUCCCUUUCACGCCGGUCCGUUGGCUCAUUUCUCCGUCAACAGUUCAUGGAGGAGAGAUUUUACAGAGUUCAGGUUGGGUCUUCUUGGAAGAAUACUGCUCUCACUCGUCCUGACGAGAGCGCGGCCUGGGGGCCAGUUUAUUGGCUAAAUUAUGUCACUGGUUUAUCUUUAGGUAAUCAGUAAUAAUUGGCUAAACUGCUUCUUAGACUUGCCUCUUUUAGGCCUGGCCCGAGCCCAGCUGAGACAUGAGAUAUCAAAAUCACACCAAUAUUUACUAUUUUAUGAGCCAGCCGCCACUGCAUAUACCGGUCUCUGACCCCAACCCUCCCUCAUGCGAUCAGUGGUGUAAGAAACAAAAAGAAGAGUCUGAUUGCUGCACAAGCCCCGUUCACCAAAUUGGACAAAUCCUGAAACCACUACCAUGACGAGCUUUCACUCGCGUUGAUUUUGAUGGCCCCUGAGGGGAUUUUACUACAUCUGGGUCUGACAGUCUGGGUUCAGUCUGUCGAACGAAACGAAUAUUAUUCAUGUGAUUCAAUUUGUGACUUCUUACUUUUUAUAUAGCUUGAACUACAUAGUCUGACUUAUUUUGAUGACAGACCUCAUUUGGGUGUGAGGCCUUCUAGAGAUGAAAUUUCACUAACACAAUAGGUAUGUAGCUCAUUAGCAAUUUAAGAACUGAUCACGGCCAUGAAUCACGAUUAUCUUCUUGUCCGCUAUUAGCUCCUGGCUUCCAGUACUGCUGACUAUCCGUAACUGUUUUACAUCAAGCUCAUCAUGAUGCACUUUAUCAAGCACAGUUCUUCAGUAACUGAAGGCAAGAUUGUUGUUACAACCACUGCUGUAUUAGCAGAUGUUCACCGUUUCUAUGGUGAAUCUCCAGUCCUAGCGCAAAUAUUAUAUAGCUGACUUUUAUGACACCAAGCCAUUCUUGGCUGAGACAGCAGUUGACUACUGGAAGGACGACAAAGACAAAAUAAGACUCAUGACAACUCCUUGAGAUCUUCCAAGACAACAAAUCUGCACAGCCACGUUCAAACUGCUGUCUCCUCCCCCCUCGACGAGCCGCGCUUGUUAAAGCAGGGUUCCUCUCAGCAUUCUAGGCCGCCUGGACUAAGGAAUGGCAGCAACUCCAAGUUUAGGGAUCCAUGUGUAGUUUGUGGUAGCGAUGACCAUGACGCUUUCGAUGCCAUGCUACUGGCUAUCAGGCACUAGCUUCCCCGGUGAAUCAUGGUCACGACUCACCUGCUGUUCAAUCUAGCACUCCGCCGUGGCAGGGAAACUAGCUGGCCCAUACGUGGAGGGGUCUGAGGCUCCAUUGACCCGCUGUUCUUUUUGUUUUUGUUGAACAAAUUCAAGUCAACUUUGUGAGAUGUAGUGGCCACUAUGAGUUUUUGCUAUUUUUCAUUUCUUAUAUGCCAAAAGUAAACAUUAUCUACUUGAAUUGUCACACAAAAAGCCAGUCCACUACUCCAUAGCCAAGGCUGUUAGCUUGUUGAAUAUUGUGGGGAUACUAUAGCGGGCAGAUGUCUGUAAAACUAAUCCCAAAAGUGCAGAAUAUCGUUACUACAUCCAAUUGUAGUAAUGACGUGUCACUGAGUUAAAGCGUUGUAUGAUUAUCCUAAGAUGUCUAUGACAUUGAGGCUAGGCUGAUGCUGUCCGGUAGCUUGAUGAUGGUGUCGUCUUUGUGAAUGAGACUAAACGGAUGUGACUAGAUUUAGAACACAGCCCAUUGUUCCAAUGUGCUUCUAGUUCUAAAAUAAAAUGGAUACUUCCAAUUCUUUCAGCUAUUUACUUUGUGUUUCAUGUGAUGGAUUUCAGUUUUCACUACCACAAUGGCAAAAUGGUUUUUGGUCAUCCAUCCAUCAAACAUGUGUCAACACAUUUUAUAGCAGUAAUAGCAAUGUCAAAAGUUACUCAUCCGUGUGACACAGGCAGGAGGGGGGGGGGGGUCGUGUUACUUCUUCACUGAACAUACAAGACCACUCACCAAGUUUCAUCCCUUACUGUGUAACAAUUCCCCCUCCGGUUUAACUUAAAAGGGAAUGGGCAGAUCGACUGUUAAUGGACAUCUUUCACUGCUUUAGUCUAAUAUAACAAAAUUAACCGACAGAAAUAACUCCCACCGUCUCCAAAAUUGGCAAGCAAAGCUCCGCCUCAGGCGGAAAGCGUGACGUGGCGCCGCGAGCAUCCCCCACCCCCCUCUGCGCUACCUCGCCGCAGUCCUCUCAGCUUCCAGCGUAGUCCUCUGUCCACAGUUAGUUUGGUUCGCCAUGUAAGGCAAUCGCCUCAGAGCACUGACUGCUUCGCCAUCUGCCUACACGACCCCAAAACAAAAUUCCCCCCUGUUGCUCUAUAUACAACGGCCAUGGUAAAUAAUAAUUAAAGCUGCAAGAAGCGAUGAACGGGCCUUUAGAUCAAAUUGCCCAGUAUCUGACCCAAACCUAAAAUGAGUUUGACAGCCCUGCCUCACCACUAGGCUACUGGCCAUGCUGUACUAAAAUUUGCAGAGAAAACAGAGAUGUAUUAACCUGUGAAGUCCACACCUGUGGCAGGUUCGUCCUACGGGAGGGUCUCGGAAUGACGAGCACGCAGCAGUUGGGUCCAUUGUAUGUGCUUUUAUUCACACGUUUCCAAAUAACACACGAUUGGCUCCGGCUUCCUCGUCGGCCCAGCCCCCUCUCGCCGUCGCCGGAUCUCUCCUACAUAACAGCAGGACAAACACACACACUGAUUAAACACCUGAGGCCAAUUAUGCCUCCUCCUGGCACCGUUCCCCGAACCACUGCCGUCUCCGUCCCCUCUGCAGCCGAGCCAAACCACGCCCGCCACCACAACACCUUUCUGAUUGAGUAGAGGUCUGGCAGAUACAUUUUGUUAACUGAACACACUGAAUGUGUCUCUGCUGACCGUUAUUUAAAUCUGAACGGCAACGAGGGUGGCUUCCUGAAGAGAGCAGAGCUGUGGUCAAGUGACUGCACAGACCUCUGCUUUUAUCAAGUGGAUCAUUUGGACAGAGGUCCAGUCAUGUCAGUCACAGUGGGACAUUUGACCAACAUGUUUCAUUGUUUUCAAGCCUACUCUGCUGAUAUGGGGGAGAAAUCUGCAAAGCUAGAUCAAAGCCGUGGCCUCCAAUUGGAGGAUCAAAGCAGUUGCUGGGGGUGCUUUAUGAAUACGUGUAAGGGGCACUAUUGAGCUAAAAUGGCAUUAUUAAGAAUUUAAAUCAUUUCAAGUAACUACAUCUUUAACUUGGUAAAAUUGGAGCAUAUGUAGAUCUUCAAAAGCACCUUUGCCAUGGCAACAGCAUAACACAAAACAAAAGGGUUUUAUUAACCUUUAAUAACCAUGAGAUUGUUCUGUCCCAGUCCCAGGGAGGAGUUUGUCAAAGUAUAGCGUCUAGUAAGUGCAAAAAAUAGAGGAAAUAUCACACAAAAAGAAUGACUGACUUCCUGUUAAUUUUAGAGCAUAGUCCCAAGAGACCUUUUUUGGGGUGCUAUCGAGCCAAAAUGCUAUUUGUCAGCAUUAAAAUCAUAUGAGGUAACUACAUCUUUAACUGUAAAUGUAUUUUCCAAGUUUAGUAAAGAUUAGAGCAUAUUUAGUCCCUCAAAAGCACCUUCGUUUUGACUAUGAAUUUGAACUUUUGCAUUUCCCUAUGCCAAUAGGUUGUACUAUUGUCUUUUGAAAAUCACUGCAUGGGAAUACUUCGAGGCCUCCACUAGCAUCAUGAAUAAGACAUUUUGGCCAGACAUAAAAAUGUUCCUUGGAAAUAACAUUUUAGGUUGUUUUUUUAUAUAUAUAUUGAUUGAUAUACUGAAUUGUUUGAAUAAGAUGUCCUUAUUAGGUUAAACUGAAUAAAUGUUAAAUAUUUAACACUCUCCAGACUCUCCAGAGAUGUUCAAUGGGGUUCAAGUCGGGGCUCUGGCUGGGCCACUCAAGGACAUUCACAGAGUUGUGCCGAGGAAACGAACACGCAGCAACCUAAGCCCAUUUGAAAUCCUUUUCGCAGUUCCUCCCCAUAUAGGUGUGGAAGCUCCAGGAACACCACUCCCUUCCACCACAAUGUGCGAGAAUGACAUGUUAACCUAUUGCAUUCGACUGUCUUCCACUUUGUCUGAUGUAAGAAAACAGGUUGUAGCUGCACUUCCAAGAGAAGCAACGGGUCCACUACACUGACUGCAACCAGGUGACUUCGUGGUGGUGAAGGACUUCAGGAGGAAAAGUUGGAAAGCUAAACGGUGGCAGGGUCCAUUCCAGAUUCUCCUGGUCACCCAAACAGCGGUCAAGGUAGCUGAAAGGGCAACUUGGGUCCAAGCAUCCCAUUGCAAGAAGGUUCCAGAUCCAGUACCAGCAGUGGGCUCAGGCGACCCUACCUCCACAACAAGUGUCAAUCAACCGACACCACCGAUCCAGUGACCACGGACGGGCAGUUGACCGACAGACACACAGUGCAUUGUGAUCUGUGUUGACUGUCUACAACGCGGAUGCCUCACAAGAAAGAAGGUUGGCAGACUCCACACCCCAACGUGUACCUGCGGACCAACACAAGAACAAGAACACGGCCAGGACCCCUCCACAUAGACACAGUAGUCGUUUGUGUCACUACGGUUUUAUUCAUAUUAUUGCUUGCUUCAGUUUCAUUGUAUCUCAGCAUCUUUUUGUGAUUCCGUAGUCCGCUACCUAAAGAGUGGUUCUCUCUUAUCAUGGAACGACUCUGACGUUAACCCCAACAGUGACUCGGACUCGACACAUACGCAUAGUGACGUAGUGACACACUGUCUGUGUGCAUUCCUGGUGUUCUAAAUGUUUUUUGUUUCACAGUAGCUUGCUAAAAGAAUGAGAAAUAACAUUCUCACAAAAACAGCUUUUAUCCCUGCAUUUAUUAGUAUGUAACGUAAAUAUGAUUGAUAUAAUGACCUUUCCACAAUAUUCUAUAUCUGUAUUGUGUGAAAGGGGAUCAAGUUCUGGUAUUGUGAUUUAAACAUGUUUUCAUUUCUUUUUUAUUUCAAUACUGUACACAUGACAUCUGGGGUGUAACGCUCAAAUCCUGUGAGAAGGUUUCCAGUCUUUAUCUUCUCCUAACAGAUUUCUUUCUAUUUUCCCAUUUCUGAGGUUUUUUUGGGGAGUUUUUGUUCUGUGGCAGGCAAAGUUUUGUGAGCGAUGUCCAGAUGUUCAUGUUUUGUGAUAUUUGAUGAGGUAAAUAUCAGAUGGUACAUUUUUAGAGUAGUCAUUCUAAAUUGAAUGCAUAGUUGAAAAGAGUAGAAUGUAAUGGGAAAAUGAUAUGUGACCCUUUUAAAUGCUUCAUUUGUAUAACCAGUUUAUUAGUUGCAAGUGGUUAGAUCACAAAGGCCCUGACAUAAGAACUGAUGUCUCCCACUUGGAUUAGAUGUUUCCAGCGUCAUAGCUGUAGAGAUUGAACAAAGUGUUUGUUAUGUCUAUGACCACCUUUGUUUUAGCAUGUUGGGAGAGCAAGGACACGGUCAAAGAGCUGAUGUGUCUUACAUGGAUAAGAUGUUCCCAGUACCCUGACUGUAGAUACUCAACAAGAUGGUCAAAGGUUUCUGUUGACGCCACCGAUAUCUAAACUUAGGUAUAAGAACUGCCUCGAUGUGUUGGGAAGAAAAGGAGGUUCUUGACAGUCUACUGACAACGUAGCUGUUGUGACCCUUUUUCCCUUGCAAGGAAAUAAACGGAGAAAAGACAUACUUGAUACAGAGCCUUUGUUUCUUACUUAACGAUUGUCUGUGCAAAAUCUUCCACCACAAUUAUGAUGCUGCCACCACCAUGCUUCACUGUAGGGAUGGUAUUGGCCAGGUGAUGAGCAGUGCCUGGUUUCCUUCAGACAUGACGCUUGGCAUUCAGGCCAAGAGUUCAAUCGUUGUUUCAUCCGACCAGAGAAUUUUGUUUCUCAUGGUCUGAGAGUCCUUCAGGCGGGCAAUCUCGCGCUCCCUUCUGACACGCGCACCUGUUAAGCAGUUCACUGAAUAUGAAUACCCCCCGAAAAAACACCUCAUCGAAUCUACACUUCACGUAGGGCACCUAUUUUGGUUUCAAAACGGCAAAUUUCGCCGAAAGGUGAGGGAUUUUCAUGCCUGCUGCAGAGAGGGUGAUCGGCUGCAUCUUCCGUCCCUGCAGGACUUGUUCCCGUCCAGGUCUCUGAAGCGAGCUAAAAAGAUGGUAGCCGACCCCUCUCACCCCGGACAACCCCUUCCAUCUGGCAGGAGGCUGAGGUCCAUCAGGGCUAAGACCUCCCGCCACACCAACAGUUUCUUCCCGUUUGCAGUCGGGCUCAUCAACAGAGCCAGUCCCCCACUGACUGACUCUGACAUCCCACCGGUCACUUUCUUCAUACUCCACAUGCACAUACAUAUAUAGUCACUUUCCGUUCGCUGGUGCACUUUAUUUUUAACUUAAACUUUUUAUCAUCUCUCCUGGCUCACAAUUACAUGGAUAAUUUAAACCCAUUACGUUUCAUAGAUAUAAUUAUGAACUGUGAAUGGCUGCAGCCCUUAUCUGAACACACAUUCCUUCAUUUCUAUAAUGGAAAUGUUAUUGCACUUCAUAUAAACAGCUGUGGCUCAACUAACAUGCAGCCAGAAAGGGUCACAGGAAACUUUUCGAUGCCAAACUUUUACCCCUCUAAUAAAUAAGGAGCUGUCUGUUCAGCAGACCUUGAGAUAUGUUACAUGCUGCAAUGACAAUCAAUUAGCCUGCUUUUCUCCACAGGCGCUGCCACCCUCAGACGUGCACACAUCUCCAGGAAAGUUGACAUGAUGUUUAUGAUAUAAAUAAAAGUCAGUGGGGGUGCCUGAAUUUGUAAUGUAUGCAUAAUAAUGAGACUAAUAAGCUCCCCUGUGAAUGCAUCAAAGAACAAGGGAGUGAUAAUGAAACUGUUUCUUAUUAUUUACCUCCAUAAUGAAUUUGCUUUUUUUUUUCUUUCUGUGCCAUAACCUUCAGCCUUUCCUCCUCACUCAUUUACUGAGGUGCUUCAUAAUGCAAUAAUUGGCAUGCUUAAGAAUAUUAUUUGCCUUCAAAAUUGGUUACAUGACCUGGCUUCCUAGGAGGUCAGGCGCAUUGGAGCAAUUUAAGAUUAGAAUCCCAAGUAUGCAGAAGGACACUUCAACAAGAAAACUAGAGAGUCAAUGGGCGACUGGCCAAGUCAAGAGCGUGGUCUUCCUUCAAUGAGGAAAUAUGGUUCCAUCCCCAAUUCCACGUCAACGAGUGCUUAGACACUCAAAGUUAGGUGUCAAUGAUGACAUGUAGUGUAAAAGCGUUUGUGUUCGGAAGCUAUACAAGGACACCAUUUACAGAAGCCAGUCAUCACAAGUUUGUUUUUGCGGUUAUUCUCAAUGUUCUUAUCAGCACAUAAGUAAACAAAUACAAUAUGUACAAUAUUUUAGAUUCCACUGGAAAAUGUAUCCCAACUUCGCAGUCCUAAAGUAUUAUUACAUAUUUUCUGCAGGAUUAAGUUGUCUUUUGUUACAAAUAUAUUUCUAAUGAUGGUCUAUGGAAUUAUAAUCUAUGGAAGGCCAUGUAGAGAGGACUGUACAUAUUUAAACUAUUACGUUCAAGAUUCCUUUUAAGAAGGUCCCAUGUCAAAACAAAGUCAGCGCCAUGAUCCAUGCCCCUGAGCCAGCGCCAUUUUCCAUGCCCCCGAGCCAGCGCCAUUAUCCAUGCCCCCGGCCCCCGAGCCAGCGCUACGUUCCAUGCCCCCGGCCCCCGGUACCGGCCCCGCGUUCCAUGCCCCCGCCCCGACCGGUACCGGCCCCACGUUCCAUGCCCCCGCCCCGACCAGUACCGGCCUCACAAUCCAUGCCCUUGACUCGGCCAGUGCCAGCCACGAGACUCAUGACUCUGACGCCUCCGGUCCCCGCUCCCCGACUCAGGUUCCCUCCCUCCCUCCCGUUGCCGAUUUGAGGGCCGUCUGGGAUCCGGCCCUUGAGGGGGGGGUCAUGGCAGGGGUUGCAACAGCGACUCCGGGGGCUUCCCGCUCCCUCCAGCUGGCAACUCCGGCUUCCUGCAUCCUCACGCCGACAACCGCGGAGGUGUUCCGUGCCCCCGAGCCGCCGCCAACCGCGGAGGUGUUCCGUGCCGCCGCCGACUGCGGAGGUGUUCCGAGCCGCCGCCGCCGACCGCGGACGUGUUCCGAGCCGCCGCCGCCGACCGCGGACGUGUUCCGUGCCGCCGAGCCGCCGCCGCCGACUGCGGAGGUUUUCCGUGUCCCCGUGCAGUCGCCGCUCCGGAGCCGGCCUGGUGACCGUCCGCCGGGCCGACCCCCAGAGGCUCCCCGCUCGUCUGGCCACCCGCCGGGCUGACCCCCAGAGUUUCCCGGGUGGUCCUGUCAUGCAUAAUUGUAUUGAAUGUACUGUCCAAAAUCCAAAAAUAGGAUCCUGGUGUAGGCUUCUGAGGAGUACAGAUGCUCAACAUCGUCUACAGUAUUGAUGGAUUUCCUCUGCCUUAAGAUUGCAAUGUUAAAAUGUUUAGCUGAAAGCACAUGGUUUAACAGAUUUAAUUUAAAUUUAUUGGAGAAACCAGCCAGGGUCUACCGCGAAGGCUGGGUCCUCAUGAGGAGGCAGCCCACGAAUCAAGACAUAUGGCUAGUGUGUGUCGUGAGCCCCCAAAGUCACAGCUCUAGACAUGAUUCAAGGCAAUGUUGCUCAAAUGUUCUGACUUGUGAGGAAUGUGCAGAAAAGUUUGUAUGACUAAAACCGUGUGCAAAAAAUCCAGGUAAUUUGGAAUACGUCCUUGUAAAGUAUUACUUUCACCACUUCUAACAUUUGAGCAAAUUAUUUUUCCUCCAACUUAAUUUCAAGAAAUGACAAAGACACAUCAAGUUCAGGAAACCUUUUUGAAACUUUCUGUACAAAAUAAGGUUUUCAAUAAACUGAAAGAUCUCCAUGUUCCAGUGCUUCCUCCACAUCAAGUAAUUGGACAAAAUUAAAGCCAGGCAAGGUCUCUAGCUUCCUCUUUUACUCUAUUAUUUUCUUUCAAACACAAAAAUACACCCAACAGCUGCAAUCUGCAACAACAUAAUACAUAAUUAUGGUCAAAAUGGAGCACAGAAAAUAAAAGUAUUAGAUAAAUAGCCCAUCAUAUAUGGCCUGCCAAUUCAUUAAACCUUAACACAAACCAAAAGGCAAACUAGUUAAUUUUAAUGACUUUUGAAUAUCAUCAGCGGAGUAGUUAAAUACCCGUCAUAAGAAUGAAAGCAAUGUCUUUCUCCACACUGCACAGCGUUCAUAUAGCGGAUACCACUGCCACCCUGAUGUUGUUGACGCCCAAAGCCUUGGUUUCCCCUCAGGUUCUAAUGUUGCCUUUCUGACUAUUGCUGUUAGUAAACUGCCAUCCACCAGAACACAAAUCGGUUUUCAGAGCCGUGUGCAUGCAGUUAAUUGUCAAUUGUUAAUUGGGUUUAGCUUUAGCAGUUCUGGGUUUAGCAGUUCACAGCGGUCACAGAAAAUGAUGAUGAAAGUGUUGUGUGUGCCCAACCUGUCUAGCUGAGGCGCCGGUGUAGCAUCUAACCCGAGCAGCUCACCAGGUUCCACUACAGAGGACCCUUCUACAUGACUCUGACAGGGGUGUCUGCCCCGCCAAACCUGACGGCGAGUCUGGACCAGGGUGGAUAUCUGACGUCCAAGUACCCUCGACACAAGGGCAAACGCCUGCGGUGAGGCGUCACUGAGGCCGGUGGCGGAAGCUUUGAUAGCAGCCUGCUGCAGAGAAGUCGAGAGUGCAGGCAUGAGGUGGGGAAGGGAGUUCCCAGUACGGCCCAUGGGGGCUGGUGCGUCAUAAGCCUUAGAUUAAAGAUCGUCAAUGACCCGACAUUGGGGAUGAGGGCACCCAGCAUCAGGCCUCAGGGUCUCCUCAGGGAAAACUUGGCUGGCGUACGGGCAAGGCCGCCAGGACUCGACCUUCAGACGCAAAACAGGACAGAGCCCUGGUGUCUCACCAGCAGGCAUGCUGCCUCAGAUAUUCUUCUGAGGGAGGAACAGAAAAGGGUGUGGAGGCGGGAACGCUCCUAGUGAAGGCACUCACAGGCUGAUGUUUGGGCUGCUGUGUGUCUAAUUGCAGGUGUACCAGCACAGUGCCAAUGGACAACCCCACGGAGCUAUCAACUGUUCCUUCUUCUGUGUUGAGGAACGUGAGCCGGGGCCAGGAGUAUGGUUAAGCCACUCUUUGCUGUACUCAGUAAUGAGAUUGGCUGACACUGCUGGUGAGAUAAUGUCCUCCUCAGGGCAGGUGUGGCUUCAUCAAUGAUGUCCCUUCUGAAAUGACUAAGUUACUUCGCAACGGCUACCAUUUUGGAAUCGGCAUUUAAAUGCCUUCAACAGCUUGCAGUGCAUUAGCGUGUAGACGUGUAAUAGCAUUUCAUGCGACAGGUUUUUUAAGGAAAGAAUUGCUGAAGGUCUCUGAAACUACAGGGAUAAAGACCAUAACGUAGUUCAUAAAUACGAGAUAUGGGUUAAAAAGUAAUUACAGUUCCUCCUCGGCAAGGUGGAUAUUGGCCAAUGGCUUUUUGCUUGUUACAUUUGUCUUUGUGAUUUUCAGUUCAUUUUAUUUGUUCGUCGUCUGGCAUUUUGGAGAAUAGGGCAAUGAAUAGUGCAUUGAGCAUCAACGCAGAAAUACGGUACAUGGCAUGUACAGCACGCUCAGAGCCGUUGCUGCUUAGCGCAGUACGAGUAGGAAAAACGCUUCAGUUCCUCCAGCCUGGAUGUAAAAUUUAAGCACACAUUGUAUAUGCUUUUAACUAAUUCACUCUGAAAGCACUAAACCUAUUAUUCAUACAGUGUGGGUUGUUGUGAUACCUUGAAUGAGUAGCAGCAGGGUCAGGGGGGCUUAGCAAAGGGUCAAUUGACUGCCUCUGACAGCCAUUGUUUGUGCCUAAUAGCGCCCUCGCCCCCAAUAAUUCAGUUGAUAUGCAUUGGCUGUCCUAUUGUAACCUUAAAAUAAUGUGAAAGGGUGAAAUAAGGUGUGUCACAAACACAUCAACAGUGAGAUGGUCUUUACCCACCGGGCGAGCUGGUUUUAGUUGGCAGACCUCGCCUGGUUCGUCAGAACGCCACAUCCUUCCUAAAAAAGCGAAGUAGGUGUAAAUUAUCCAACGUAUUCCUGCUGGAUAAACAGUAUAAAUUGAAGCCUAUUUUUAAUAUCAGCAAUGCUGUGGUCCAUAGACUAUGGACCUUGAAAUGUGACGGUUCUCGCAUUGAUAAUUCCUCUUGUGUGCGUGAUCGAUAACACAAGCUGGCACAGAUCAAUUUUCCAUGUCAUCAAAGUUAAGUAUAGUACAAGGGAGCAUAAUCUCAUAUUGGACUCUUAUGUGUGUAGGUUUUGUGAAUGGCAUUGUAUGUGGGGAAGGCAUGUUAUUGUUAUAAUUAUUUGUAAACUAGAGACAUUUCUGAAGAUUUGUGGAACUUGCCGACUGAUCCUAUUAUUUUCUAUAUAAAUUGUGUCUGCUUGUGUUCUUUUUUAUGGCAUUAUGACUGAGUUUUCUCUACUACUUGCCAUGGUUGUGCUGUUUCCAUGGGAGGUACAUGACUUUUAUAGUGCUGAAGACAAAAUUGGAGGUAAAGUGGCUUUAACAUUUAGAGUAUGCUCGGCUAUACAAAUAUGAAGCUAAAUGCUAGUUAUUUUUAUUCAUAAUUUUUUAUAGAAGGUUACUUUUCAGCCAAGUGAUCUUUAAAGAAGGAUUUCAGAAAUAAAAAAUAUAAAGCAAUCCAGUGCAGAAAAGUAAUAAUACCUAAAUCUGUGAACAAGAACCAUGUCAAUCUUGCUUUUUAGUCAUAAUAAAAUGUGUUGAUAGUACAAUAGUAAUACAUGUUUUUGUGAAAUCACGCUGUUGCUGGCAUCAGAGACAUGCAUACCAUUCAUUAGUCACUAGGGGAUACACAUGAGAAUAGUUUAUGCUGCUAACAGUUGCAUCUGUUAGAGACAUAUUAUGUAGGUGUGUGUUUGUAACAACAAGCUGGGAGGUGAUGGAAAAAGAAUGGAUAUCUAACCAUCUGGCUAGAUAUUCAUUCCUUAGGUAAAAAAUGUGUUAACUAAAUGUGGAAGCAACAAAAAUAACCAUAAAUUGAUUAGAAAGUUUUCUUUCCUCCUCCAGACAGGAGCAGAGGUGUUGGUCCUAGUUUGAAGGCCUCGAUCCAUCAGGAGCCACAUGAAGCCAGGAAUGCAAAAUGAGACUUUCUAAAGGGAAUCUGUUGCUGGGAAACCUUUUGACAUACAGACAACCUGGAGUUCACUUUCAUUAGAUUUUUACAUGUGUCCUGACAGAACAAAACAUCCCACACAUUUACAUGACAAUGCCUUCUGAUUGUUCUUGAGCUUAAUUCAUUUUUAAAAGCUAAAGCAGCAGUGCCUGUUUAUAAUCGAAAGGGAUCACUGUCCCGGAGCACGUUCCUCUCGCUCUUUCUCACUUACUCAUUCAGAAAAUUCCACCUCGAAUGGCCCAAAUGGAGAGUUAUUCAAAAGUAUCAUUAACCCUCUUGGCUCUUCAUUGUGUUGUUUUCCCUGAGGGAAAUGGAAUCCGUAUUCAGUUUGAUGAGGAACUGCAGCGUUUCCUUUGUUUGGGCCCCAGAUGGAGGGAAGCUGAUACUUGAUUGUGUGAAUGUGAUUGUGCCCUGAACUCUGGAGUAAAUGGGACUGGAUAAUGGUCACUUCUCUUCAGCUCUCCAAAGCCAUUUACUUUCUGCCCUAGAUUCUAAACCUUAAUAAAGAGCAAGAAUUUACACAUUGCCUCAUACUGGAUGCCUGUUUCUUAAGGACAGAUCUAAACCCCCAGCAGCCUUGUUAUGGUGCUGUGGUCUUCUGACCAGGGUUUGUCUCGUUAGCAUAAAAAUAAUAAAAGUACUAGUUGCUUUUUUUCUUCUAAACAUAAAUAAUUCAUCACCAUCUGGAAAGGAGAGCUCCAAUGGAAGAUAACCUAACCCAACUGGGACCUAAGGAUACUCUACUACAAAGACUGCUGCUUGCUGCCCCAUGGCCAGUCGUAGAAAAACAAGACGGGUAAAAGCAGUCAGUGACCGUUGAUCCCAGUUCUUCACUGAGACAUGGAUCCAUUGUGCAUCCUGAAUAAAGCUGCACUUUACUGGUGUGUCCAAACAAGACAGCAGCACAAGAUGCUAUUUGGUAUUCAGAGCAGUUAGGUGUGUUGUUUCUUUUACUUACACACAUCAUACUCCCUACAGAGUAACAUGACCCUCCCAGGCUCCUAAACCUCCCAUCUGGAGGGGGAGGUCAUUGCAAAUAACUGCCUUAGAUAAUUCACAACAUUUGAAUCAGCAUGAGGGGUCUGCAGAGAUCAGUCUCCUAGAGCUCAACUCCAGUGCAUAGUGGCAGGACCACAAUGACCUUUUCUUUGGUCCUACUUAAAUGCACAGAGGAUGUAUUAACCACACAUCUUCUAGCAAUGCGCUCAACUGGCAGAAAUGAUGCUGUAUGACGUGUCUGUUCCCUGCAAGCCCCAAACUUCUAUUGGCUUUCCAUAAAAAUGUCUGUCCGGGUGGAGAUGAAGCCAGGAAACUUGUGCAAGAACAUGUUUAAAUGCCGUACCCUUUGACACCACAUUAACAACUAUAAACUGCUUUAUAAUGGCUGGUCGUAGUUCUGCUAGAGGGUCAAGGACGGGUUCCUCAAAACUGUUAGUGUUUCCACACCACUUAGCAUGAACACAUGCUGACCUUUAUGCUCUGCAUCUAUCGAUUGAGUAAGUUACAUUCAUAUAUGUUACCCGUUUACAUGUCAUGGCAAAACCUUCAACCUCAGUGACACAAGGGUACAUGUGAUGAUACAUUGUCAACAUUGCAUGUCUGUCAGACUCAUCCAAGAGUGUCUGGUGGAAUGGAGAAAGAGGCACCACUGUACAGAUUUCUAGGGAAAGUCGUUCUGCUGACACCAAAACACUGCUUUACAUAAAGCAUAUUAGCUGUUUCAAAGUCCCAACCAUUUGUCUUCCUAAAAUACUGGUCCUUCUGUCUAACAAUAACCUCGUAUCUGAUUGGAGGACCCUUAGACUCCUCGUCCAAUCACGUGUGAGGUCAUAGACAUGACUCAGACAGCAGUACUUGCAAGACGAGCACACAAACAGACACGCGUGUGUUACUAUAUUCAGAAGAACUGUAUCUCCAGUUCCUUUGUUUGGUUUUUGCUGCUUCGUGAAUAAUGGCUGGACGACGUCUUGCGUUCAACUCCUCUCCGCGGUCACCAACUUUCAGCCAGUCCGCAGACAGACGAGAAGAAGCUGCUGAAAGCUCUCAGUGGAUCGUCUCGUCAACUCCAGCAACAAAUUGCCGAUAUCAACGAGCGGUUCGCGUUCGGGAAUCUCCAGGUUUCUGUCCAUGGAGGAGAGGAACCGACUCAAAGAAGAGGAGACGGGCGCACAAUCCCAAGAAAGCGGUAAGAAUACGUUCGAUAACUGCAAGCUAAGCUAAAAGUAGCGUAGCCUCAAGCUAAGCUAAGAGUAGCCUAGUAGCCUUACAAGUGAGCAGAAACAGCUUUAUUAAAGUCUAUUUUCUUUGCCGUGUCGUUUACAGGAAGCGGUGCGCCGUCUUCACAACUCCGAGACGAAUUACAGGCGCUACGAACCGGAGCAAGGGUCAGAUUUACAGAAUAUGCUUUCAUUCUGCGGUAUAAGGGAAUAUAUACGUAUAGAUAACGAUCAUAACUGUACAUUUUGUUUUCACAGACUAAUCUCGCCUCAUAAUGAGGCGGUGACCUCGUAUUUGCUCCAGGAAAAGUCCAGAUUUAGACGACGUCAUUGUGUGUAAGUGACACUGUUUCUCCUUCCUUGUUAAAUGUUACUGUGACUUACGAUUUUUUUUGUAUUCAUACCACACUCAUUUAAUUGUUUUCCAGCCGCCUGUGAGACGUAUUGUGAGAGGGGACGCAGGAGCUUCAGGUUCAGGCGGAACACUCAUUGCGGGCGGAAGCUGCGAAGGAUUCAGCGCGGAGUCGAGCGAGAAGAAAGACGGUCAGAGUUUAUUUGCUGACUUGUUUCAGGUGCAUUGAUCGCUGUGUUGUGUCCGUACGCAUCGCACAGUACUGAUUCAUUGUUGUUUUUACAGCUGCUGGAAUCGAGACAAAGUGUGCUGGCUGAUGACGAGGUGGAAAUCCGCCACCGUGGAGCUCACGUCGGACGGAGGGGACGGCGUUGUUGGCGGGGUGUCGAGGUGGAUUGUACGGUCGCCACACGCACACGAGCUGCCUGCACAACAGACCUGCCUCGGAAAACACGGCGCCAGUGACGGUCAACAACCGUCACUGGCGCCCAAACUUGAAAAGAGCCUCUGAUCAAGUUUAGUGAAGGUGCAUUAGGUCCCAUUAGUGACCCCCUGCCAUAAAGCAAAGUGUGAGUUCCAGGUUUCAACAGCUAACAGAACCGUAUUCACCGUUUGUUGUUACAUGAAACACUCUGUCCAUCAUGACAACUAUGCCUGGACUAACACAGUUUCUUGGACACGGCACACACUGCUUUUCUAUGCAAGUCUUUGGGCUGCAACAGACAUAUUUUUGCUUUCUCCAUGGGACUUCUGACAAACUAUGAGAAGGAGCUUUGACUUCCAGGGACUCUCAAAUAGGUCUUGUUUCUGCAACAAGAGUACCGUUGGAUCUUUUCUACAACACAAAGUCAUGACGGUCAUCUUUGAGGAGUGUCAAGUUUCGUGUGAUUUUUCGGACUGACUACGACUCUGCCCAAACUUGAAAAGAGCUUCCUCUCCCGUGGACGCAAAGGACAACUCAAGAACUGUUGAUUUUAUGAUCCUUUAUUUCUCUUAAGGGUGGUUCGGUGGAUCAGACAAAGAACAGACAAAGAAUCUCUCUGGGAGAUAAGGAGCUGUGGUCACAGUGUCCUUUUCCUCAGGACCGAGUGAGAGGGCCAUCUGAGCUCUCCACAAACAUUUUAUGCCAUGCGCUUCCUGUUUGUACGCAGGCACUUCCUGUGGGUGGAAUCACCAUUAGCCGCAUCGUCGCCCCCUGCAGUCUGGGUGUGCUCCGACUGUCCGGGGUGGAUAUGGACCUUGAGUGCUCUGUGCGGCUUGUGACCGGAGAUUGACGCAACAAGGAGAACGUGUGUUUUUGCCGCCCUGUGUGCCUUUGGUGAUGUUCCAUCUCAGCCAAUGUUUUCGUCACCUGAGGACCUGAGAUUUUUGCUGUUCCUCACCAUCUUUAAUGCCUGUAGGUGAUUCUCAAAUGGGAAGGACGACACAUCGUUCAGUGAGCACUUGGAAGUGUGUAAUAUCCUCAUCCAAAUGCUACACAACUGUGGACAUUGUAGGGUGGAAGCAUAACCAAGAUAUGCCUCCCUCUUCUCAGAAUCAGACUCUAGGAGAAUUGAAUUGUCCACAGUCAAUGGAAGAAAGUGUUCGUAGAAGUUGUCCAAAUAGGUGCCUAGUGGAACCACAGGCCCUGGGUACAACAGGAACUGGCGGAACUCUGUUGCCUUCCAGCGAUCGAUUUCUUGGAAAGAACGAGGUUGCCUUGCAAACUCUGUUGGCGUGACACCCUGCAGCCUUAUCAUGCGUUAUGAGAUUUCCUGCCUCAGUAUUGGUGCCAGCGUGCAAUUCUCAGGUCCACGCAACAGAUAAAUAAGCAAACUUUUUACUACACAAAGACAAACUAGGUGCAUAUAGUCCAAGGCAAAUAUUUAACACAUAGGACUCCAGCAGAGGUGAUUAUUGUUUCUGAUGGCCUGCAUAAAAGACUUGAUAAAAAGCUGCAUCUGACCUGGACUAAAAAAUGUCUUUGGAGGGGUAGGUGACCCUUCUCUGGACAGUUACGGUAGUUGCCACAGACCGCUCGCAUCCUUGUAAUCCAUUAUGGCCAGUAAUGCACUUUAAGAAAGCCCUUGCCGCCUUCAUUUGACCUGAUGCAAUGCCCUCAUAAACUAAACACUUUUGCUGCAGAGACUUAAUUUCCUCGAUCAAGUCCUAUAAAUAUUUAUUGACUUUUGCGGGCUUUUCUUUAGCACAAAAUAGUGCUACCAGGAAUGGUUUGGCCUUUUGGAAUAAAGCCAAUAUAGGCCAAAACUGCAAUUUGGACAUUUUAAAAAGAGGAACGCUAUCUACAUUUAAAACUAACUGAAUAUGUCCUGUGAAAUUUGGACACUGUGUUGCAAGAGGCUCCUCUCUAGGCAAUAAUAUAAAUAUUGUCCAUUGCAUAUGUGUAUACAACUAACUGCCCAUGGGAUGGAAAGCAGUGUGCGAGCAUCUUUGGGAAGGUGAGACCCAUGUUUUCUCAGAACAAGGAGAAGUUCGUUGACAUUUCUGUGUGUUUGUUUAGUGUUGGUAGCCCAAUUAGCUAAAUCUCUAGCUAAAUUAGGAUCUUCAUCUCCAGAAUCAGAUUCUGUAACAAGAUCUGAGUCAUUUGAAUAUGGAUCCUUUGUAUAUCCUAAAUCAGCUCCAUCUCUCUCAUCGUCACUUGAUUCUUCGUGUGUAGGGAAGGCAGACAUUACAAAUUUGCCUCAGAGGGCUUUACAGUCUGUACACAUGCGACAUCCUCUGUCCCGAAACCCUCACAUGGGCACAGGAAAAACUCCCCCAAAAAUGAAAAACAGGGAAGAAACCUCAGUGAGAACGUCAGAGGAGGGAUCCCACUCCCGGAAUGGACAGACUAGACUUGCGUUUUACAGUUUUAGAUGACAUGCACAUGUAAAAAUAAGAAAAAGAACACCUGCACACAUAUAUGGGUGUUAACAGACCAUCAAAACAUUGUUAGGAUUUUGAUCGAAUAGUCUGUUUUAUUUUGGAUAUGAUUGGGUAUGUUUUCUUCAGAGAGUUCUUUGUUUAAAGUGGUACUUCACAUUGCUGCUUUUCAUCACGGCCUCUGAACAUUUAUGAGACAUCCUGGUUUUCGUAAUUUAUUUUUAAGUCUUUCCAUUGUCCAAGGAUCGCAUUCACCACGUUUGUCUUUUUGAAGAGCGUCAUGUGAAAUAACUGACAUACUUUGACUGUUUAGCCUCUCGUGGAGGGAUUUGUACAUAAUAUCUGUGCUCAUCUCAAGCUGCAAUCCUUAUUGUAUUAGACAUGUGAUUGGCUGAUGAGGAUAUAUAAUGCAUUUUAUUGGUUGUUGUGUUUCCUGGACCUCUGAACAAGUUUAGUGAAGGUGCAUUAGGUCCCAUUAGUGACCCCCUGCCAUAAAGCAAAGUGUGAGUUCCAGGUUUCAACAGCUAACAGAACCGUAUUCACCGUUUGUUGUUACAUGAAACACUCUGUCCAUCAUGACAACUACCUAAAGUUACCAACCUGAGAAGUCGGGCAGUAGGUAUGAUCUGCUCAGUUUUUGAGGAAAGAUACAUCGGAUGACACAAGUGUGCACAAUGGGUGCAAGUAUGCAAUGUGUAUGAAUGAGCUGAAUUUGUGUUCCAAGUGUUGCACAACUCGUCAUUCAGCCUCCCUGUGUAAAGAAGGUUGGCACUGGACUGUUAAAUCCUCAUCAUCUGCAUCAGUUACUUCUGAUAAUUGGUCAGCAUCGCAACAAAGAUACAUUAGAUCACAAGAGCGGCAGUGAUGUUUUUGUUUACAGAUAAUUUGAGUCUUGAAUGUCAAUUUAAGAAGGUUUAAAUACAACUUAAGUUACCAUCCAUAUUGUAGGUAAGAGCAAGAGGAAAACAAAUGGACACUUUAAUAGAUACUUUUAGUUAACACUAUCAGUUUUGUGCUACAUUUUAAGAUUUUUUGCCAUCAACACAACCUAUGCAAAUAUACCUUUUUACAUUAUCUACAUGCUGUCAUUAUUACUACUGCUGCAUUAAUCAAUCUUUGUCCACACGGUUUUCUUUUCCAUAUGAAAAUAAUUUUUAUUCAACAAAUAUCCUAAAAAAUUAGAAAAUCCUGGGCUGGACAACGUUAUUAUUAUGAUUGUGCUUAUUUUUAUUUAUCAUAAUUGUUAGUAUUGAUAUUAUACCUGUGGGCGGCACGGUGGCGUGGUGGUUAGCACUGUCGCCUCACAGCAAGAAGGUCCUGGGUUCGAUUCCGCCCAGUGGCCUUUCUGUGUGGAGUCUGCAUGUUCUCCCUGUGUCUGCGUGGGUUCUCUCCGGGUUCUCCGGCUUUCUCCCACAGUCCAAAGACAUGCUCUGGGGAUCAGGUUAAUUGGGGACUUUAAAUUGCCCGUAGAUGUGUGAAUGGUUGUAUGUCUCUGUGUAGCCCUGCAAUUUGCUGGCGACCAAUCCAGGAUGUACCCUGUCUAUCGCCCGAAGUUGGCUGGGAUGGACUCCAGCCCCCCGCGACCCUGUGUGCAGGAUAAGCGGUUUGACGAUGGAUGGAUGGAUGGAUGGAUGGAUGGAUGCAUAUUAUACCUUCCAAUUUGUACUGAGAAAAGAUGUCUCCACAAAACAUCCACAUAAAUGAUCAUUUCAUUGGAGUGCUGUAUAUUUCUUAAGCAAUCACUGAAAUGUUGACCUAGCACCAACAGGAAAAUGUCUGCAACCGAAAAAAAUCUGCAACCGAAAAAAAUAACAGUGAAUAUCAAAAAAUAAAUAUAAGUGAAGAAUGAAAAAAUAUAUAUUUUAUUGUCAAAGAGUCAAAACUAUAUUCAACCCGAAAAUAUAUAUCAGCUGUAGCUUUCUGAUUGACUUGUGGACACACCGUUAAAGUAGUAGUCUUUUCCAAAUGAUGUUGAGACGCAAGUCCUCUAAUCCUUCCUUAUAUUCUUUUAGAUGAUAGGCUGAUUUUGGAACUGUCUUGUUGUGGCUGUUCAUUUUGAGGUCCGAAUUAUUUAUUACUAUUACACCUAGAUUCAUGGUUGGUUAGUGGCUUUUAACAUCAGUCAUUGACGUAAAGCUCACUGCUCACUGAAAGUGCUGACUUUCAAUCGUCUAAUAAGCACAUAAAUGUAAUUUAGUGAACAUUGGAAUUUUACCUCAGAAACACUAAAAAGAAAACACUGCAGUAAUACUGUCAAUUUGAGUUUAAACAAACAAAACUGACCAAAUAAGGGGUUCAUUGUCAGUUUGAUUUUACUUUACAACCAAUUUUACAUCAAUUCUUAUAGACUUGAAUAAAUGUUAAAUUCAACAUUGGGUGCAUUGGUUCCCCUUCUCUUCGACAAUGUUUCUGCAAAUUAUUAAUGAAACCACAGGGUAAGUGAGGCAAACGAUUUCCUGUCGGAGAAAAAAAGGUUUCAUCUCUCUCAUGCUUCACUCUCUUUCCACUCCUGCUUCUCAGGGAUUUUUUAUAACAUUCUACUUUAAGCUUUCCUGUCACCCAUCAAUCGUGAAAGUUAAACAAAAGAACUGCUCACUUGUCGUUAAACGGGCAGAGCGCUUCAGGUGAAUGUUUCCCCUCUUCCAAAAACACUUUUGGUUGAAUUCCUCCUGCUGCAGAGCAGAUGCAUCCUGCGCGGUAAUUUCAAUCUCAUAAAGAGGGGUUGAGAUCCUCCUUUUAAAAUGCAACACCGGUCGUUUUUCCCCUCGCCCACCCCCUGUGGACCUGGAAACGCUGCAACAAGUUUUUUACUGACUGCAUUGUCCACUUCUCGCUUCUAAAGAGGGCUGAAUUCUAAAUGGGUCGUGUUUAAUUCACCGCUGCAGAAUGUCCGGUUGAGCAGCCAUCUCUCCGCAGAGGCUAAGAGUUCAACACAUCACUCACCACAGGCAGACAUCUCUCCUAUUCAACACAUAAUGAAAAAUGCUAAGAAAGCCUCAGGCAAGUGGCAAUAUCUUAAAGUCAAAGUCACCUUGGGACGUCCACUUGUUGGACCACAUGCUGCUGCAUUGUUAUCUUUUCACUUUUCCAUUUCAUCUUCUACUCGUUUCACUUUCACUCCUGCUCUCUGGCCUCCUCUGUUAUAACUCUGAAAGUAUCACAGGUUUUUGGACUGGCUGUGGUCUAAUUCCCAAACAUUUUUAUCACAACUCUUCAAAGAUUAAUGUCAGGUCACUUUCUAAUGCACUGGGUAGCCCAGUAUGCCAACCCGUAUGGAUUGCCUUUCAGUUUGGUUUCAAACAAAAACACUCACCAGC